CUCUGACCAACUGCUGCCAAAUGCCUCGGACUCACUGAACACCUGUGCCACCUACUGGUCAAAGAUAUUUACUACAUCUGGAAUAGAAAUCAGGCUUAAAGAUCAUUGGAAUGCCUCAAAAGCAGAAUCACUCCAAUCCCAGGCACCUACUCCACCCAGGGAUACAGACCUAAUGAUUUCACCCUUCCAGAGGACAGAUGCCUAAUUAUGAACACCACACACUGGCCAGAC
rnacentral:lncRNA from 1 species